AACGAACGCUGGCGGCGUGCCUAACACAUGCAAGUCGAACGCGAAAGUCCUUUGGGAUGAGUAAAGUGGCGCACGGGUGAGUAACACGUAGGUGACCUGCCUUUUAGAGGGGAAUAACCAGAAGAAAUUUUGGCUAAUGCCGCAUACGAAGUACAAAUCUAAAAGUAGUACUUGAAAGGAUGCCUCUGUAUAUGCAUCCACUAAAAGAUGGGCCUGCGGAACAUUAGCUAGUUGGUGGGUAAAGGCCUACCAAGGCAACGAUGUUUAUCCGGUCUGAGAGGAUGAUCGGACACACUGGAACUGAGACACGGUCCAGACUCCUACGGGAGGCAGCAGUGGGGAAUAUUGCGCAAUGGGGGAAACCCUGACGCAGCAACGCCGCGUGAGUGAGGAAGGACUUCGGUCUGUAAAGCUCUGUUAAUGUGGAAAAAUGGUAGUUGGUCUAAUAGGCCGAUUAUUUGAUGGUACACAUAGAGGAAGCACCGGCUAAACCUUCGUGCCAGCAGCCGCGGUAAUCG
rnacentral:rRNA from 1 species